GUGCUCACUUUGGCAACACAUAUACUAAAAUUGGAACAAUACAGAGAAGAUUAGCAUGGCUCCUGUGCAAGAAUGACAUGCAAAUUUGUGAAGCAUUCCAUAUUUUU
rnacentral:snRNA from 1 species